CGGGACACGUGGUAUCCUGUCUGAAUAUGGGGGGACCAUCCUCCAAGGCUAAAUACUCCUGACUGACCGAUAGUGAACCAGUACCGUGAGGGAAAGGCGAAAAGAACCCCGGCGAGGGGAGUGAAAAAGAACCUGAAACCGUGUACGUACAAGCAGUGGGAGCCUCUUUAUGGGGUGACUGCGUACCUUUUGUAUAAUGGGUCAGCGACUUAUAUUCUGUAGCAAGGUUAACCGAAUAGGGGAGCCGAAGGGAAACCGAGUCUUAACUGGGCGUUAAGUUGCAGGGUAUAGACCCGAAACCCGGUGAUCUAGCCAUGGGCAGGUUGAAGGUUGGGUAACACUAACUGGAGGACCGAACCGACUAAUGUUGAAAAAUUAGCGGAUGACUUGUGGCUGGGGGUGAAAGGCCAAUCAAACCGGGAGAUAGCUGGUUCUCCCCGAAAGCUAUUUAGGUAGCGCCUCGUGAAUUCAUCUCCGGGGGUAGAGCACUGUUUCGGCAAGGGGGUCAUCCCGACUUACCAACCCGAUGCAAACUGCGAAUACCGGAGAAUGUUAUCACGGGAGACACACGGCGGGUGCUAACGUCCGUCGUGAAGAG
rnacentral:rRNA from 1 species